GCGGCGCCCGGCGUGCGCGCGCACAAGCCCCUGCGAGCCGCGAGCCGCGCGGAGCCACAGUGGGAGUGCGACUUCUGCAAAUUUCUUGGAUUGAUUCUCUGACUCUCGACCAGUUUCUUUAAAAGUCUUGAAGACUUGGCUUUUUCAAUCAUUGCAAGAAAAAAAAAGAAAUCUCCAACUAUAAAGAGAGACAUCAUUUCCAAGAGAUGGCAGGACAGAAGUGUCAAAAUUUCAUCUGUGGAAAAAGCUUUCAACCAACAACAAAAAGAAAAUGAAGAAUAAAUAUGAUAAUUGUGGUAGGAUGAAAAACAUCUUCAAAAGCUAUGAAGCCAAAAUUCAUGGAAGCCUAUGACUAUUACUGUACAUGGACAAAAAUGUGAUUAAGUGCUGCAGUCUGGCUGGGCACAAAAUAACUGAGCCACCACAAAAACUUGUAGAUUCCAACAGCAACUCUUUAUUCCCGAACUCUCACCGGCACUCUACA